GGGGUUGUGGCUCAGUGGCAGAGUACUUUGCCUAGCAUGUAUAAGGUAUUGGGUUCAAUCCUCAGAACCACA
rnacentral:tRNA from 1 species